CUCAAACAAAGGCAGUGUGGAAGAGAACUGAGGAGUGAGAAGUUUGAUACGAUCGCUGGCUGGAUGGAGAGGACAGCAUGCAGACUUCUGACAGAGCCGAGUCCCCAGACCAUUCCCACCAGGGAGCCAUGACCCAGUGUGACCUUGUGACCCCUUCGGACUGACCUCUCAGUGGGUGGCCUUUACACUGACCAACAUGCA